rnacentral:RNase_P_RNA from 1 species
GGAGUCGGCCGGGCGAUCGCGGCUUCGUUCCUGCAGUCACCGGAAUACGGUGUUUAGCGGUGCGUAGCGGNNNNNNNNNNGCCAGAUAACGUCUGGACGGCGCGAGUCGAUGGACAGUGCCACAGAAAAUAUACCGCCUGCUCGGCAGGUGAACACUUGUUGAGCGGUAAGGGUGAAAUGGUGCGGUAAGAGCGCACCGCGUUCGUGGUAACACGAACGGCAGGGUAAACCCCACCUGGAGCAAGACCAAAUAGGAAUCCAAUGGUGCGGCCCGCAUCGGAUUCGGGUAGGUCGCGAGAGUCACGCGGUGACGUGUGAUCGAGAUGAAUGGUCGCCUUCGACAGAACCCGGCUUACAGGCCGACUCCCCAC